rnacentral:rRNA from 1 species
CCUACGGGAGGCAGCAGUGGGGAAUAUUGGUCAAUGGGCGAAAGCCUGAACCAGCAACGCCGCGUGAAUGAAGAAGGUUUUCGGAUUGUAAAGUUCUUUUAUAAGGGACGAAGCAAGUGACGGUACCUUAGGAAUAAGCCUCGGCUAACUACGUGCCAGCAGCCGCGGUAAUACGUAGGAGGCGAGCGUUAUCCGGAUUGACUGGGGGUAAAGGGUGCGUAGGUGGUUUGACAAGUCAGUUGUGAAACCCCGAGGCUCAACCUCGGGACUGCUACUAAAACUGGAUGACUUGAGUGCAGGAGAGGCAAGUGGAAUUCCUAGUGUAGCGGUGGAAUGCGUAGAUAUUAGGAGGAACACCAGUGGCGAAGGCGAAUUGCUGGACUGUAACUGACACUGAGGCACGAAAGCGUGGGGAGCAAACAGGAUUAGAUACCCCAGUAGUC